rnacentral:rRNA from 1 species
ACUCCUACGGGAGGCAGCAGUGGGAAUAUUGGACAAUGGGGGAACCGUGCAUCCAGCGAUACCGUGUGUGUGAAGAAGGCCUGCGGGUUGUAAAGCACUUUCAGUAGUGAGGAGGAUUGCGUGUUUAAGAGAUGCGCAUGAAGACGUUAACUACAGAAGAAGCACCGGCUAACUCUGUGCCAGCAGCCGCGGUAAUACAGAGGGUGCGAGCGUUAAUCGGACUUACUGGGCGUAAAGGGUGAGUAGGCGGAAUUGUAAGUUAGUUGUGAAAGUCCAGGGCUUAACCUUGGAAGGUCAAUUGAUACUGCAAUUCUAGAGUUCAGCAGAGGAGAGUGGAAUUUCCGGUGUAGCGGUGAAAUGCGUAGAUAUCGGAAGGAACACCAGUGGCGAAGGCGUCUCUCUGGGCUGAAACUGACGCUGAUGCACGAAAGCGUGGGUAGCAAACAGGAUUAGAUACCCUGGUAGGCUCUG